ensembl:lncRNA
AACAUAACAUAUGUACCUGCACUUGGUGGAGGGAGAAGGAAGCCUCCAUCUCCUGGCCAGCACUGUUUACCUCUUUCAGCUCUAGUGUAGCUGGAAGCACAUACCAGGAAAACAGUAAGUGAUUCUCUCUCAGUGAAGAGAUCCCUGGGUGGUAUUUAUUUUCUUUGUUCUCUUCUGAACUGCCCAUUAAAAUUUUUUUCUAUCAAUACCCAUAAGGGCAAGGCCAGUGUGUCCUGCUCAAAACCGCAUCCCAGCACCCAGCACCGCGUUUAGCACCUGAUAGGUGCUCAAUAAGGUGUGAAUGACUAGCAGGCAUUACUUUUCAAGGCUGUGAGGGGCAGGUUUAACAAUGACUGGGAGGACGUGUUUGCAUCCCGCAGGCCGCCCGGCUCCACCUCGACCCCGCCAGGUCCCCAGCGUUUCCGCCUCUGCCUGGCGCCCAGGGAUUGACGCCUCGAGGGGCGGAGUGUCUGGCUCCAGUCCGGUGCCUCGGCCCUUUAUGAUCUGCAGGCUCGGCAGCCCCGGGGCCACCUCGCCGGCGCUGGUGAGGGGAGGGAGCAGACUCCUCCAGGAACCGGUCUGGGCCGCCCUUGCCGGUGCCUCUACCCGCUUCCUGCGCCUCCCUCCAGCCUCCCGCAGCCUCCCCCAUCAGAGUCUGCUCUGGGACCUCCCCCACGCCACCACAUCUCCGACGUCCCCAGGAGACUCCUGGGCCUCCGCCCUGCAAGGUGUUAGGUCCACAGUGUUCCACCUCUUGGGUAAGACCCCGGCCGCCCGCAGCCCCUCCCCAACCCCCUCUCUCCCGAAGGGCCGCUUUCCCUGGGACCCUUCUGCUGCUGGUUCCUCCUCGACUCCAGCACCGUCUCCAGGCCUGUCUGCCUCUACCCUAGGGAGCGCUCCAGAUAAGGCAGGUGGUGCCUGGUAGCACUCUCGCCUGGGCAGGCUGGGGCACCAAGGCAUUCUGGGACAUGAGCUGGGAUGGGCGGGGCCUCUCACUAAGACGACGUAGCCUGGCCCUUGGAGGGAAACUCAAGCGUCUACAGGGUGCAGCCACUGCUGCUCGCUGGGGUCCUGGAGUGGGGUCGGGGAGCCAGUCACUGGCAAGGGCUCAAUCCUGGAAGUUAGGCUGGGUCCGGACCCCCAGCAGCUGGGCCAAGAAGGAGGAGGUGAUGAGAGAGAGAGAGGGAGAGCAAGUUUGAGCCGCUGGGCAGGACAGAUUUCAGGGCUGGCUGGGCAGGUCCGGUACUCUGCUCACACAAACCUGAAUCUGGCCUAAACGACUUGUAGGCAUUCCCUCCCCUCCAUCCCCACCAUGCUGUAUCUUCUCCCCUUUGGACCUUUCAGUGGGCUUCUCAACCGCUCUCCUGGCCCAGCUUCUCCACAAUGGCUGUGGUUCUAAGAGGGGGCCUGGUCUUGAAGCAACAAUGCAGUCACCUCCACUUCCUCUCUUGAUGCCGCCACUACCGCCGCCCUUUGCUCCUCUCUCUUGCCCUCUCUGCAGUUAUCUCACAACUUCCUUUAUUCUGCCACGCAAGCCCAAUGGGUCCCCAGAAAGAACUGGGAGUCUUAGCUCUGAGAACAGGAUAUUCUUUCACUCACUCAUUUGAUCAUUCAUUCACACAUGCGCUUACUUCCGUCCGCUCAAUCCCUUUUCUUUCCCAUUCCAUCACUUACUCCCCCAUUCUUUAGGCACUGAGCAUCUACUGUAUUCCAGUACCUGCGGGUUUGGUGGGAGGGGGGAAGGGUAGUCUGGUGAAUCAGCAUCCUUGCUUCUACCUGUUUGUUCAAGGUGAAGAAGGAGAAAUGAACACAAGUCAGCCCAAUUUAAGAGAAAAAGCAGUGUGAGAGAGAAAUAAGGAUUGAAGUGUGGCUGUGUGUUUAUGUGUGCGCAGUGAAGAUACAGAGGAAGGGGAAAAUGUAAUUUCUACUUAGGAAGAGCCCAGAAGUCUUCCUGGAGGUGUUGCCAUUUGAGCCAGGCCUUGACUGUGUGGGGAGGGUUUGGAUGUUGCGUUAUUAGAGGGCAUCAGGGUGGAUGGAACAGCAGGAACAAAGGGAGGCCCAGGUGUGGAAGGGAACAGUGGGAAGCUCUGUUCAUGGCUUGAGAGAAUUAGAAGAGAGAAGUCUGGGAUUUCCCUGGCGGUCCAGUGGUUAAGACUCCAUGCUUCCACUGUCGGGAUUGCAGGUUUGAUCCCUGGUCAGAGAAUUAAGAUCCCACACACCGCUUGGCACAACCGAAAAGAAAGAAGUCUGGACAGGUAGACUAGGGUGGGCAGAGGACAAGCCAUGUGCUCCCUUGUCUUUGCCAGCUGUCACAGGCCUCGGGAGCAACCUUGUUCUGGGUGAUAUAGAGCCUUGGUGAAAAGGUAAUGGCCUUUUCCUCAUGGCUAAGAGGAAUGGUAACAUCCUUGCUGAUACUAGAGCUCUUUAGUAUCAUAGGCAACCUUAGAUGGAGUUCUUCAAUCUUGGAGGUGUGUAAAUGGAGGCUAGGACACUAGAUGUGUGUGUGGAGAGGGGAGAGCUGCAGGCUCUGGCCCCUGGUGGGGUUCGGCUAGGACAAUGCUGAAAAUGAGUUGGAGUGAUGAUGUCAGAGGUCCCCUCCCAGCUAGAGUCUGUCGUCCUAUCUGGGAAGGCCAGAGGGUCCAGCAGAGGGGAUUCCUGGGAGUUUGGUCAUGUGUUCACUCAUUCAUUCCCUCAUUUGCCUCUACACCCAUUCAUUCAUUCAUUCAUUCAUCAUUUAGUUGCUAAAUCCUGGUCUGGGCAGAUCCUGUACUGAGGACUCAGCUGACUCAGAUGCGCUCCCAUCUGAUGAGGGAGGAGACCCAUGACUGACAGUGACAACCCAGUGUCGCCAUGGAGUAGGAAUAGAGACUGUUUCAUUUAUUUUGUUGCUGAGUAGGGGUAGGGCUGGUACUUGGACCUGAAGAAUUAAUGCAGACUUUCAUCCUCCAGCCAGGAAGGCCCCCAUCGGUGGGGUCAGAAGAAGGAUGUAACUGUGGGAAAAGAAGUGUUUGAGGUAGAAAAUACUCUGGGGUCACAAGACUUAAGAGGCAGUCUUCCUCUAGACAUGGACCACUCGAGGACCCAGCCUUUGGGCUGAGGGUGCCACAGGCUCAUCCCUCACUGGAAAUGAACCCGCUGGAUUUGGAAACCUCUAGGGAAUUCCUGGUCAGCGUAAGCUGUAAGCAGGUUGUGUAGAGUGGAGGUUAAACUUCUGGGCUCUGGACCUCGAUCAGUGUGCCAGUUGCAGUGCUGGCUAUUAUCAACUGUGUGACUUUAGACUCUGCCUCUGUCAUUGCCUUUGCAGGAGAAAAACAAUCAUAGUACCUUCCUGUUAAGGUGAGGCCCAGAGAUGGUAGCAAACAUGAAGUGCUUACCCAGUGCUGGGCAGGUGAGAAGGGCUAUAAUGAAGGGCUAAAAUGACAGUGAUGAUGCCGAUGAUGAUUAUGCUGAUGACAAUAGUGACAUACUGUCAGCGUUUGCCUUUAAAACCUCAGGGCCUCAUUUUUCCCAGCUUAAAAUGGGAAGACUGACAUAACUCACGGGCUGUCAAAGUGAGGUCCCUGGACCAGCAGCAUCAGCCUCACUUGGGAUCUUGUUCAGUUCAGUUCAGUUCAGUUCAGUCGCUCAGUUGUGUUUGACUCUUUGC